UACGGAGGGCGCAAGCGUUGUUCGGAAUCACUGGGCGUAAAGCGCGUGUAGGCGGCUUGGUAAGUCGGGUGUGAAAGCCCGGGGCCUAACCCCGGAACUGCACUCGAAACUGCCUCGCUCGAGUCCCGGAGAGGAUGGUGGAAUUCCCGGUGUAGUGGUGAAAUACGUAGAUAUCGGGAGGAACACCAGCGGCGAAGGCGGCCAUCUGGACGGUGACUGACGCUGAGACGAGAAAGCGUGGGGAGCAAACAGG
rnacentral:rRNA from 1 species